GACGAACGCUGGCGGCGUGCUUAACACAUGCAAGUCGAGCGGUAAGGCCCUUUCGGGGGUACACGAGCGGCGAACGGGUGAGUAACACGUGGGUGACCUGCCCUCAGCUCUGGGAUAAGCCUGGGAAACCGGGUCUAAUACCGGAUAUGACUCCAUGACGCAUGUUGUGGGGUGGAAAGCCUUGUGCGGCUGAGGAUGGGCCCGCGGCCUAUCAGCUUGUUGGUGGGGUGAUGGCCUACCAAGGCGGCGACGGGUAGCCGGCCUGAGAGGGCGACCGGCCACACUGGGACUGAGACACGGCCCAGACUCCUACGGGAGGCAGCAGUGGGGAAUCUUGCGCAAUGGGCGAAAGCCUGACGCAGCGACGCCGCGUGAGGGAUGACGGCCUCGG
rnacentral:rRNA from 1 species